CCCGAGUGUACCUGCGGCGGGGCCAGCACCGAAGAUUUAUACCACAUAUAUCCAUAUCCCAAAGCAUGUCCUAAUACACGUAGAGAUUAAUACGUGUUUAUUUUGCACGUGUCUCAUAUAUGCAGGUUCUGCCUAUGCAAAGUAUGGAAUUUAUAUAUCUGUACAGAUCAAUAGGUGUAUGUGUCACUGUGUUACGCCUAUGUACAUCAGCGUCUUUGCUUUCCGUUCAACUACACGUACACCUGUGUGUGUGUGAGGUUGUGAGGUUCCCCCCGCCCGUGGGGCCGGGCUGCUCCGCUCCGCUCCUGGGGCGGGGCCCGUUCCCUGUUCCCGGUUCCUGGUUCCCAUCCAGCCGCCGUCGCGGGAUCACCUGGCCCUGGGGGACGACGAGCCCAUGGCCAGGAAGGAGCCGCUGCUCAGCGCCCUUAAAGGAGGGGUGUUGCGGCUGCGGGAGGGCGGUGGCCCCUGCACGGACACCUCGCCGCACCUCGUGUCCCUCUGCCAGCUGCUGGAGAGCGUCCUGCGCAAGGGGCUCCGACGGGAGUGACCCUGCGUGCCCGGGCGGGCGGUGGCAGCGGCCCCGGGCCCGCUGCGAGGGGUCUCGCACUCCUUUUCUCCCGCAGAACCGGCCUGGGGCUUCCGCAGGCGGGAUUACUGGCACUGGCUGGAGCAGCUCCCCGCGGGGACCAGCGGCCGGUGAGCGCCCCAGAGCUAGACUGGGGUGAAAAUCUGAGCUGUGGUGGCGUCUGUCGCGACACGCUCAUCCCAAAGAGCCCAGGUGCAGGGAGGACCCUCCGGUGUGCUGCCAAAGCUGCUUCCACUCUCCCCGAACAGGCCGGACCCUCUGUCCGUCAGCAUCCGGAGAGCCGGGGGCUGUGAGCGGGCGCGGACGGCGCAGGGCCGCGGGCGGUGCUUUGUGCGCUUGGCCCUGCAGGGGAAAGUGCUGGUGGUGGCCGUGAGGCAGCUGGCACAGACCUCCCGACUCCUGGAAGUGCGCACCUGGGGGGAGCUGCUGCCCACGGACCGUGGGCUGUGAAACUGAGGUGUAACCUGUGCUGUUUCACUGGCUUUCAGUUCUAUGAUCCAGGGAGCUCCAUCCUCGGAGUGAAGAUCUCCGGGGUAAGAUGGUGGCUCACCCGAGGCAGGAUGCAGCCUGUGAUAUAGCACUGCACUGCUGCAGGGGAUGGGGAAGAGUCCACUGUGAUUUUUCUAAUCCAAAUUUAGCGCUGGAAUCUAAAUGCAUUCCUGCAGUGGUGGAAAAAAAUCCCCAAACAAACGUGUAAAUAUUUAAACAUCAUUUGAAUCCAUCUAAGGUUGGCUUUAGUGGCAUGGGACAGGAAAAUUUCUUCUGAAGUAUCUUCCAUGUUAUUCAUUUGUACCAAGGAUUCUGGCUUAAGCAGACCCAGUCUGGCUUUGAGGAGAGGCCAUGUUGGAUCGGCUCAGGCUGAGGGGUGGCACGGGAGUUUAAAUGGCUGCAUUGCCUUGAUAGGCUGCAGCACUCCAUCCAUCCACAGCCAGGCUCCUUGGGGGACCAGGCCAGGGUGGAAGCCUUUAAUCUUUUGUUUAUGAUAAAUAACCCCAUGUUAAACCUGUACAUCAAUGGUUUGUAAAUCACCCGUGCUGCUGGUGCAUGAGCAGAUUGCAGACCUGGCAGUGCAAUUGCAAGGUUUGUGUAGGAGAGCCUGGGCAGCUUUGCUGUGCUUCUAAGGGGAAAAAUAGUCAGUGGCGUUUGCUGCAAGUCUUGGUCUGAAUUUUGGGAAAAAAGGUACCAAGCUGCACCUGUGCCCGCAGCAGGAGCCUGGCAUGAGCCUCCAGCAGCACUUGGGUGCAUGGUGCUGGGAUGCUCUCAAGGCCUCACCCCCAGGACUCAUUAGUUACACUGCAAAUGGCUUUAUUCUGUCCUCUGCCAUGCCCCUGUGAGGCUGUGGCUGCCAGGAACCUGGCGGUGACUCUGCCUCUCUCUCCAUCCCCAUCCCUCUGCAGAGCCUUUCCUCUCACUGCUACUGGUGCUGACAGAGAUAGAUUUCUCCCUGGACCUGCAGGUGCAGCUGUGAAUCAGUGGGGUGGUGACCAGCACAGGGCUGCCAACGUGGGGCCCUGGCCCUUCCCUGACAGGACCAAUGGCGCUGACACUCCUUUGUUUGCAGAAUUGCAGCUUCUUGGACGAGAGCUGGCUGCUGCCAGUAAGAGCCCAUCGCUGCUGGGAGCCGUCCUUCUGCCACCUGGCCCUCCCUGAAAAGUCAAAUGAGGAAGAUAAGGAACGGUUUGGUGGGGAGGGAUUGCCACACACCCUGGGGUGAAUUGGCUCAGGUCCACCAGGAUGAGCAGAGCUGCCUCUGCUAUUGAGGCUGGAUCCUGCUGGGUACCUGCAGCAUCACCAGGAGCAGAUCCCAGCAUUCCCGGGAGUAAAACCAAGCAAGAGAAGCACCCAGGACUGAAUCUCUGAUAUAAGUGAAGUUUUCCCAUGCUCUCUUCCCUGAUUUCUUGCCAAAAAAAUCCCCAUUUCCCUGGGCUGACACAGAUUACGCAUCAGUUGGUUUCACUCUUGGUUUGCUCAGUGAAACAUCAGUGUGUUAUUGAGAACAGCGGGGACGCCUUUGUGACUUUUAACGAUGAAGAGCAUCCCUCCACCACAUUUUAAACCCAAAAGAAUCCCCAAAAAGCUCGAGGCAGCUUUGGGACUGGCCAAGGCAUGCACUGAGCCGUGGUGCUGCUGCAAAGCCUGGGAUGCCGCUGGCUUUGGGGCAUUUCUGGCAGCCAGUGCCCCCGCUGGCCGCGGCUCAGGCCCGGCUAAUGCGAUGUGACAGUGAGUGCUGCUGCACACAGCAGCGCCUCUGGGGAGGGGCAGCUGCAUCCCCCAGCUGCGUGGGGACAUGUGGGGUGAGGCAGGAGGGCUCUUCAAUGAGUUAAGGGUUUUCUGUUGCUUUGCUGUCCCAUCCGUAGAGCAGCUUUGUCCCUUGAGGGUCUGGGCACAGCCAAAUCCUGAGGGAGGACAGAGACAAGCAGCCACUGAUGGUCCCAGCUCAGCCUGGGGCACUGGGACUUGCCUCUCCCUGGGCUCCCAAAGCCCUGGGUUGGCAUCAGUGCCAGAAAUUAUCCAGGGUAUGGGGUCCUUUGGAUGUCCCAUGGCCAUUGCCAAGGCCACUGUCACCAUCCACUCUCUUUCAGGUGUGCAGUACUUACGAGACCGUCCCGUGCCGAGCACUGGGGAUGGUGCUCAGGCUGUGGCUGUGCUGCAGAGGCUGAAGGGACAACCGCUCACCUUCCGCCUGCUCCAGUGGCAGUGGCACGACGGGACAGUCUUUGAGCCACUGCUGCCCUACCUGAAGGCCCUGAAGGAGAAGGAGCCCCACUUCCAGCUGCAGCACAGCCCCCGGCACAGGGGUGAGAGGCAGCCCUGGCAGCUGCAGGGGGGCAGGUGGGUCUGUGCCAUGGGCAGCCCCCAGGCUCGGCUGAGGGCCCUGGCACUGGGGUAGCCCUGUGCCCACACUAUCCCUGAUCUCUGCUCGAGGCUGUGGGGCCAAGGCUGCCCCCGUGGCCUGGAGGUGAGGAGGUGCAGGGGGCUGGGAGCAUCUUCCCCUGCAAAAGCAGCAGGAGGGAUGUGUGGGGUUUUUCCUCUGAUGCCCCCGAGCCCUUUGCUCCCCAGGCUGCUCUACAGCCUGCAGUUCCUGGGCCAGACCAGCGUUGGGACGGUGAGACUGUGGGGCAGAGACCUGCCAGGGGGUGAAUCAUCUCUUCUGGAGUUCUCUUCAUGUGUCCAAGGGUUAUUCCCUCCUUCCCAUUCCAUUUCACUACAGUAGCAAAGAGGUUCUGGAGGGGGCCAUCCCUGUUGUGCUGGAGAGGAGCUUGGCAGUGCGGGUGAGCAACAGGGCUGGGGACAUCCUGGGAAGGGCUCUGUGAGAGAAUUCAGGUUAUGGAUAUUUUUUCCAGCUCCAGGUUCACUUGGCUUGGCUGAAUAUUUGCCACCCCAUCACCCCUGUGGGGUUUUUUCAGGUCAGAAGCAUCUCAGCAGCCAGGAUAGGAAAGGGCAUUAAGGAAAAAAUGCAACCACAUGCAGGAAAGCACUUGGAAAACUCUGGGAAGGCUAAGCCUGAUUCCAGGAGUGCUUCAGGGCUCAGGUCACUGUUGCUUGAGCCUCUGGGGGGUGUUUGUGAAAAGACUGAAGUGUGGAAGCACUGGGUCGUGGACAAAAAAGGGCAGCAGAGAGAAAACUUGAAAAAGCUGAGGCUGACUGUGCUUCAUCACCUCUGCAUUUGGAUAAUCUCUGGUGAGUGUCUGAUUAAAAACAGAGCUCAGGGCUGUGCUGAUCAGGGCUUCUUCCCCCUCAUCCCCCUGUAGGAGGUUUUAUUUGAUGUGAAGGAGGCAGAAGUCCUUGUGCAGGAGAGGGCUUCUUCCAAGGUGAGUAAGUGACAUCCAAGGUCUUGGAAUCUGGUGGCAUGGGGAGCCCAGCUGGAGGGGUCCUGGGGACAGAACAAACCAGGAACAGGGCCGACAGGGCCUGACCACAGCCCUGAACAGCCCCUCCCUGUCCCCUGCACAGCUCCACCCCUACCCCUCCAUCUCCUGUAUGGGACGCUGCAGGAGAUGGAGCCCCAGGACCUUUGCCUUCUGCGUGCUGUGAAUGCUGUCUGCAGGUCCUGCUCUUCCCCCAGAGCCCUGACGGGAGCACAUUUGACUGCCUGGUGUUUGCAUCCAGUUCUGAGCAAGAAUGUGAGCAAAUCAUUGGGAGAAUCGCUGCAGGAUUUAAGCACACGGAGUGGUUUGUCUGAGGGAGAAGAGCACAAUGAGGCACCACUGUCCCAGCAGCAGUUGAGGGAUGCAGGCCUGCCUCCCACAGGAAGUUGGGAUGGAUUUCAUGCUCUUCCUCACCAUGGUGGUGGGAGAUCACAGACAGCCACUCCAAUUUACCCCAGCCUGGUGGGAACUGCUGCUACUCUUGCCCCCAAACAGCACAACUUCCACUGGAAUAAAUCAAGCUAGGCUGGCUCAACCACCUCCCUGUGCUGCUUUCUGUGACACCUCCAGCCUUACUCGUAGAGCCUGUUCUGGCAGGGCUGAGCAGCCUUCCCCUCCACUCGGGGUUAAUUACCAUGGCUCAGGUGCAGUCUGAGCACUUUCCUCCACCACAACCCAGCAGGGCCUGGCAGCUGAGGAGCCCAGACCUGCCUUGGCCCAGCCUGCAGCAAAGGUUUGAGUUCAAUCACAUUCCAUUCAAAACUCUGGCUGGGAAACGAAAAUCCCCAUGGAGCACCCACCCAUGUGCUCAGCAGCCCCUCUACUCCCAGGGUGCACAAUCAGCUGUUCCCCCUGCAGAGCAGGACUGGCACAGCCCAAUCCCACAGGAACGCUCCCCACACUGCUCAGGAACAGCCAGGUGGUUUUGCUUCAGCCAGACCAGUCACAAGUCCAAAAUAAACUUUCCCUGCAUCCACUAGAAAGAACUCAGAGCUAAGCUUGUGCCCUGAUCAGAGAAAAGUCCCCCAAAAAGCCACUGCAGCUUCAGCUAGUCCUUCUGCCCCCCUACACAGCUGUAGGGCUCCACUCUCACAGGCCACAGCAAGGACUCAAGCUGCACAAAAUCUCCAAAAUACUCCAAGAGUUCUCCGUUCUGUUGCCAGCAGAGGUUAAGUUGCCAAAGCAGCAGCCCAGGAUUACAGGAAUCUGUAGGAGGCAGAAGCUUCUUCAAGCCCAUUCAAACCAAAUGACAAAGACUCCUCACAUGUGAAUGUAAAACAUUUAAUUUAAAAAUGUUGACACUACAAUAUAUAAAAUAGCUAUUAUAAAUGCACAUAGUGUAUUCUAUAGCUGCCAGGUUUACAUUUUUAGGAAACUGUAAGUUACACUGUGGUUAAGACUUGUAAUUUCACCCUCUGAAGGAAGUCCACAUUUGAUCACAGUGAUGCAUGGUCAGACUAACAGCCC